rnacentral:rRNA from 1 species
UACAGAGGUCUCAAGCGUUGUUCGGAUUCAUUGGGCGUAAAGGGUGUGUAGGUGGCGCCGUAAGUCGGGUGUGAAAUUUCGGAGCUUAACUCCGAAACUGCAUUCGAUACUGCGGUGCUUGAGGACUGGAGAGGAGACUGGAAUUCAUGGUGUAGCAGUGAAAUGCGUAGAGAUCAUGAGGAAGACCAGUGGCGAAGGCGGGUCUCUGGACAGUUCCUGACGCUGAGGCACGAAGGUCAGGGGAGCAAACAGG